UACGUAGGGUGCGAGCGUUAAUCGGAAUUACUGGGCGUAAAGCGUGCGCAGGCGGUUCGUGAUGUCUGAUGUGAAAGCCCCGGGCUCAACCCGGGAAGUGCGUUGGAAACUGCGAGACUAGAGUCUCGGAGAGGAAGGUGGAAUUCCAGGUGUAGCGGUGAAAUGCGUAGAUAUCUGGAAGAACACCGGUGGCGAAGGCGGCCUUCUGGACGAUGACUGACGCUGAGACGCGAAAGCGUGGGGAGCAAACAGG
rnacentral:rRNA from 1 species